ACUAUUUUGUGUUGACCUGCCACGUUAAAUUCCAAUAAAAUACACUGAAGUUGUGUUUGUAAUAAGACAAAAGUGGAAAAGUUCAUUGGGCAUUAAUA